CUACGGGGUGCAGCAGUGAGGAAUAUUGCACAAUGGGGGGAACCCUGAUGCAGCAACGCCGCGUGGAGGAUGACGCAUUUCGGUGUGUAAACUCCUUUUAUAUGUCAAGAAAAUGACGGUAGCAUAUGAAUAAGCACCGGCUAACUCCGUGCCAGCAGCCGCGGUAAUACGGAGGGUGCAAGCGUUACUCGGAAUCACUGGGCGUAAAGGACGCGUAGGCGGGCUUGUAAGUCAGGUGUGAAAUCCUACAGCUUAACUGUAGAACUGCACUUGAAACUACGAGCCUAGAGUAUGGGAGGGGGAGAUGGAAUUAGUGGUGUAGGGGUAAAAUCCGUAGAUAUCACUAGGAAUACCUAAAGCGAAGGCGAUCUCCUGGAACAUAACUGACGCUAAGGCGUGAAAGCGUGGGGAGCAAACAGGAUUAGAUACCCGGGUAGUC
rnacentral:rRNA from 1 species